ensembl:lncRNA
AUAUAUAUAUAUAUAUUAAAAGAACAUUCCAUUUCAUCAUCUUGCAGACAUUAAUGGAGCAUUAGAGGAAUGCUAAAAUGUUUCGAGUCACAAUAAGCACACAUCCUCUGGAGCGGCUCCAGUGAAGGUCACCUCAUCCACGCAGCCGUGUGAGCGAUGAGUCCUGCAGAGGAGAGCACUGCCACCGGCAUCGGCCAUCCACAACCCCAGCGCAGGCCUGCAUCGCCACCGCAGGUGGGAGCAGCAGAUGCGCGCCGCCGCUAAUGGCUCCGGGGCCGACUAUGAGAGAAAGCCACCAAGCAUGGAGGCGGAGCAGAUGGGCCCGAGACUUACAGAUAAUGCUCGAGACAGGGUUUGGACGGCGCCGUCUGGUUCCCUUGGAUUUGGCGGCUGUGUGUUUGUUGCUAUUUUUAUUCAGCAAGGACACAUUAAAUUGAUUAAAAGUUGCAGCAAAAGCAUUCACGCUUCUAUUUAAAAUGAUUUUAAACCUUUUUUUUAUCCAUCAAAG